UACGUAGGGCGCAAGCGUUGUCCGGAAUUAUUGGGCGUAAAGAGCUCGUAGGCGGCCUGUUGCGUCCGCUGUGAAAUCCCGGGGCUUAACCCCGGGCCUGCAGUGGAUACGGGCAGGCUGGAGGCAGGCAGGGGAGAACGGAAUUCCCGGUGUAGCGGUGAAAUGCGCAGAUAUCGGGAGGAACACCGGUGGCGAAGGCGGUUCUCUGGGCCUGUACUGACGCUGAGGAGCGAAAGCGUGGGGAGCGAACAGGAUUAGAUACGUCGUGAGU
rnacentral:rRNA from 1 species